rnacentral:snRNA from 1 species
AGUCAUGUGAUGAACACAGCGAAUUAUUCUUUCACCUUUUACUAAAGAGUACUGUGUGUUCGUCAUUUUAAGCGUCAUACAAUUAUUUUUGGAAGGGUCUCUAUAAAAUAAAAU